rnacentral:rRNA from 1 species
AACGAACGCUGGCGGCAUGCCUAACACAUGCAAGUCGAACGAGACCUUCGGGUCUAGUGGCGCACGGGUGCGUAACGCGUGGGAACCUGCCCUUAGGUUCGGAAUAACUCCCCGAAAGGGGUGCUAAUACCGGAUAAUGUCUUCGGCCCAAAGAUUUAUCGCCUUUGGAUGGGCCCGCGUUGGAUUAGCUAGUUGGUAGGGUAAAAGCCUACCAAGGCGACGAUCCAUAGCUGGUCUGAGAGGAUGAUCAGCCACACUGGGACUGAGACACGGCCCAGACUCCUACGGGAGGCAGCAGUGGGGAAUAGUGGAAAAUGGGCGAAAGCCUGAUCCAGCAAUGCCGCGUGAGUGAUGAAGGCCUUAGGGUUGUAAAGCUCUUUUAACCGGGAUGAUAAUGACAGUACCGGGAGAAUAAGCUCCGGCUAACUCCGUG